AUUGAACGCUGGCGGCAUGCCUUACACAUGCAAGUCGAACGGUAACGGGCCUUCGGGUGCCGACGAGUGGCGAACGGGUGAGUAAUGCAUCGGAACGUACCUUUCAGUGGGGGAUAACGUAGCGAAAGUUACGCUAAUACCGCAUAUUCUGUGAGCAGGAAAGCAGGGGAUCGCAAGACCUUGCGCUGAUUGAGCGGCCGAUGUCAGAUUAGCUAGUUGGUGAGGUAAAGGCUCACCAAGGCGACGAUCUGUAGCGGGUCUGAGAGGAUGAUCCGCCACACUGGAACUGGGACACGGCCCAGACUCCUACGGGAGGCAGCAGUGGGGAAGUUUGGACAAUGGGGGCAACCCUGAUCCAGCCAUGCCGCGUGAGUGAAGAAGGCCUUCGGGUUGUAAAGCUCUUUCGGCCGGGAAGAAAUCGUAUGGGUUAAUACCCUGUGCGGAUGACGGUACCGGCAUAAGAAGCACCGGCUAACUACGUGCCAGCCGCCGCUGUAAAAC
rnacentral:rRNA from 1 species